CCGCGGUCCGAGCCCGGCGAGGAGCCGCCGCCGCUGCCGGAGCCCGGUGAGCCGGUGCCGAAGCCCGGCGAGCCGCCCAGGGAGCCAGGGGAGCUGGUGCCGAUGCCAGGCGAGGCGGGUCCUGGAGAGCCGGUGAAGGAGCCCGGCGAGGAGGUGCCGGAGCCGGGGGACGGCGUGCCGGAGGAGCCCAGGGCAGACCCGGCUCCCUCCGGCGCUGGGCGACUCCCAGACCGGGACUCCUCGUACGCCUUCCGCCACUGAAUUCAUGGUGGCUUCGCAGAGCGGCGGGAGAAUUUCCCAGAGGUUUGCCAGUCCUCAUCCGAAGGGAAUAGCCGGUCCCGGGCAGUCCCCUGCGGAGCGGGCAGGCAGCUCUCUCCGCCGCCUCUGAUGGGAUCGCUCGGCCCCAAAACACCAAGCAGCAGCAUCCCGAGCAGUGGCGUUCCCCCCACAGGCAGCACAGGUCUCCUCCGUAAGCCAGGCGGAGCAUCCGAGGUAGCUCUGGGAAGGUGAAAGCGGGAGCCGCGCUCUCCCUAGCAGAGGCGCUUGUCUGCCUCCGCUACAGCGGCAACUUGUUUCCUUCACCAAGGUUUGUAACUGAGUUAAAAGAAAUCCUCCAAAAAUAUCGGGAUCCAGGCUCUGGGAGGAGCCUCCGCGUUCCUUGCAGCCAAUAUCCUCCUGCCCAUUCGUGCCUGACAAUUUUGUAAGGGAGGGAAGGAGGGGAGGGAAGAGAAGACACAGGCGGAGGAGCCCCGUGCGCUGCUCGGUCAGCGGCGGAGCUACAAGGCCGGCGGCGAGCAGAGUGCCAGAGCCUCUCCUCAGGUCUGCGCGGUGCCGCGCCUGCCGGGAGGGUCCAUCUUAUUUUGCAGUGUUUCUUGAUUGACGUCUGUGAUUUCCCCCCUCUUUUUGUAAAGGGUGGGGGAACCUUGUUGCUUCCACCGCAGUUAUUGGUUAGUUGCCUCUAUUCAGGGCUUUAACGAGCGUGAUUUCACAAGCGCUCCCGGUCCUCCCUAAGUAACUACGAAAGAAAAGCCAGCUGUAUUUAUGACAGUCACUGGUAUCUCUUUUCCAUGUUGCGAUUUUACGUGUAUUAAUUUAACUUGCAGUCAAGGGCAUAAUAAA